rnacentral:tRNA from 2 species
GCCAGCAUAGCUCAGUGGUAGAGCAACUCACUCGUAAUGAGUAGGUCGUCGGUUCAAAUCCGAUUGCUGGCU